rnacentral:rRNA from 1 species
GACGAACGCUGGCGGCGUGCUUAACACAUGCAAGUCGAACGCUGAAGCUUGGUGCUUGCACUGGGUGGAUGAGUGGCGAACGGGUGAGUAAUACGUGAGUAACCUGCCCUUGACUCUGGGAUAAGCCUGGGAAACUGGGUCUAAUACUGGAUACGACAUGACACUGCAUGGUGGUGUGUGGAAAGGGUUUUACUGGUUUUGGAUGGGCUCACGGCCUAUCAGCUUGUUGGUGGGGUAAUGGCCUACCAAGGCGACGACGGGUAGCCGGCCUGAGAGGGUGACCGGCCACACUGGGACUGAGACACGGCCCAGACUCCUACGGGAGGCAGCAGUGGGGAAUAUUGCACAAUGGGCGGAAGCCUGAUGCAGCGACGCCGCGUGAGGGAUGACGGCCUUCGGGUUGUAAACCUCUUUCAGCACGGAAGAAGCGAGAGUGACGGUACGUGCAGAAGAAGCGCCGGCUAACUACGUG